CAGGGAAUAUUGCACAAUGGGCGAAAGCCUGAUGCAGCGACACCGCGUGCGGGAUGACGGCCUUAGGGUUGUAAACCGCUUUCAGGAGGGAAGAAAAUGACGGUACCUCCAGAAGAAGCUCCGGCCAACUACGUGCCAGCAGCCGCGGUAAUACGUAGGGAGCAAACGUUAUCCGGAAUUACUGGGCGUAAAGAGCGUGUAGGCGGCACGGUAAGUCAACCGUGAAAGCUCCCGGCUAAACUGGGAGAGGUCGGAUGAGACUGCCGAGCUAGAGGGUCGUAGAGGGGUGUGGAAUUCCGGGUGUAGUGGUGAAAUGCGUAGAGAUCCGGAGGAACACCAGAGGCGAAGGCGGCACCCUGGACGACACCAGACGCUGAGACGCGACAGCACGGGGAGCGAACGGGAUUAGAAACCCCGGUAGUCCGUGCCGUAAACGAUGUGCACUAGAUGUUCGGUCCUCUACGGGGGAGUGAGCGUCGCAGCCAACGCGGUAAGUGCACCGCCUGGGGAGUACGGUCGCAAGGCUA
rnacentral:rRNA from 1 species